AGCUAUGGCCAUGCCACCCUGAACAAGCCCUAUCUUGCCUGAUCUCGGAAGCUAAGCAGGGUCGGGCCUGGUUAGUACUUGGAUGGGAGACCACCUAGGAAGACCAGAUGCUGUAGGUG
rnacentral:rRNA from 1 species